GAUGAACGCUGGCGGCGUGCCUAAUACAUGCAAGUCGAGCGAACGGACGAGAAGCUUGCUUCUCUGAUGUUAGCGGCGGACGGGGGAGUAACACGUGGAUAACCUACCUAUAAGACUGGGAUAACUUUGGGAAACCGGAGCUAAUACCGGAUAAUAUUUUGAACCGCAUGGUUCAAAAGUGAAAGACGGUCUUGCUGUCACUUAUAGAUGGAUCCGCGCUGCAUUAGCUAGUUGGUAAGGUAACGGCUUACCAAGGCAACGAUGCAUAGCCGACCUGAGAGGGUGAUCGGCCACACUGGAACUGAGACACGGUCCAGACUCCUACGGGAGGCAGCAGUAGGGAAUCUUCCGCAAUGGGCGAAAGCCUGACGGAGCAACGCCGCGUGAGUGAUGAAGGUCUUCGGAUCGUAAAACUCUGUUAUUAGGGAAGAACAUAUGUGUAAGUAACUGUGCACAUCUUGACGGUACCUAAUCAGAAAGCCACGGCUAACUACGUG
rnacentral:rRNA from 1 species